ACGUAGGUGGCGAGCGUUGUCCGGAAUUAUUGGGCGUAAAGCGCGCGUAGGCGGGAUAAUAAGUCUACUCUAAAAGUUCGGAGCUUAACUUCGAAAAGGGGUGGAAACUGAUAUUCUUGAGUGCCGGAGAGGAAAGCGGAAUUCCCAGUGUAGCGGUGAAAUGCGUAGAUAUUGGGAGGAACACCAGUGGCGAAGGCGGCUUUCUGGACGGUGUCUGACGCUGAGGCGCGAAAGCCAGGGGAGCGAACGG
rnacentral:rRNA from 1 species